AUCCCUAAUUGUUUCAUUCAAAAUUCUUAAAUUUCCUAACCAACGGUAGCUAUCAGAACGAAGUCACCUCGGGCAACCAUCAUCACAAGCGCAGCAUCACGCCGUCGUCGCCUGUUUCCAGUCAACAACAGGUGGCCAUCUUCACAUCAGGGGUUUGCGAACUCAUUUUCCUGAUAUUAUGCCUAGGAGAAAAUUAAGUGAUCUGUGGAUUAUUGGAGCUCCUCAAGAGGAGGAAGAAACAAAUAAUGAAGAGUCGAUUGGUGUUGGAUCUACAGACGUUCCGAAUACAGUUGAAGAAACUGUAGAAAUUGAAGCUGAAAAUGGUCAGAGGCGCAAGAGUAGAGGUUGUACGAUAAUGAAGGAAUUGUACCAAAUUUCUCUUGGGGACCGCAUGAGAUUUUCAAGUAACGAUGUCGAUCAACCUAUUGGGACAGAAGCAUGUAUUCUAUCAGGUUACCUAGGCAUUAUUGUAUGCAAUGCAAGUCUUCUACUGAUCCAUUAUGAGUCAUGGCGUGAGAUGCAGAAUAGUAGCAAAAACCAGGUUGUAGAUUGCUUUAAGGUAAUAAUUUCAUUGUAAUAAAUAAUUCAUUGUAGUUCAAUAGUAAUAUAUGUUUACUUUCAACACUUGUGGGAUUUAUAGGAGAAAUUUUCUUUA